CCUCCUUUCUUCCUCCUUUUUGCCUCUUGGGCCAUGGCGGCACCUCUGCCCCAGCAACGCCGCGUGAAUGAUGAAGGUCUUCGGAUUGUAAAGUUCUGUGAUGGGGGAUGAACACAAUGACGGUACCCCAAUAGCAAGCCACGGCUAACUACGUGCCAGCAGCCGCGGUAAUACGUAGGUGGCAAGCGUUAUCCGGAAUGACUGGGCGUAAAGGGUGCGUAGGUGGUUUAGUAAGUUGGCGGUGUAAUUCCGGGGCUCAACCUCGGCGCUACCGCCAAAACUAUUAGACUAGAGUGCAGGAGGGGUAAGUGGAAUUCCUAGUGUAGCGGUGGAAUGCGUAGAUAUUAGGAGGAACAUCAGGGGCGAAGGCGACUUACUGGACUGUAACUGACACUGAGGCACGAAAGCGUGGGGAGCAAACAGGAUUAGAUACCCUUGUAGUC
rnacentral:rRNA from 1 species